CUUUAGUGGUGGCAGAGGUGACAGAAUUUUGUGUGUUGGUGGUCUUAGUGGUGGCAGAGGUCCCAGAAACAGGUGUACUGCUGGCUUUAGUGGUGGGAGAGGUGACAGAAGUAUGUGUACUGCUAGCUUUAGUGGUGGCAGAGGUCCCAGAAACAGGUGUACUGCUGGCUUUAGUGGUGGCAGAGGUCCCAGAAGCAGGUGUACUGCUGGCUUUAGUGGUGGCAGAGGUCCCAGAAACAGGUGUACUGCUGACUGUAGUGGUGGCAGAGGUGACAGACACAGGUGUACUGCUGG